GAUGAACGCUGGCGGCGUGCCUAAUACAUGCAAGUCGAGCGAACAGACGAGGAGCUUGCUCCUCUGACGUUAGCGGCGGACGGGUGAGUAACACGUGGAUAACCUACCUAUAAGACUGGGAUAACUUCGGGAAACCGGAGCUAAUACCGGAUAAUAUAUUGAACCGCAUGGUUCAAUAGUGAAAGACGGUUUUGCUGUCACUUAUAGAUGGAUCCGCGCCGCAUUAGCUAGUUGGUAAGGUAACGGCUUACCAAGGCAACGAUGCGUAGCCGACCUGAGAGGGUGAUCGGCCACACUGGAACUGAGACACGGUCCAGACUCCUACGGGAGGCAGCAGUAGGGAAUCUUCCACAAUGGGCGAAAGCCUGACGGAGCAACGCCGCGUGAGUGAUGAAGGUCUUCGGAUCGUAAAACUCUGUUAUUAGGGAAGAACAAAUGUGUAAGUAACUAUGCACGUCUUGACGGUACCUAAUCAGAAAGCCACGGCUAACUACGUG
rnacentral:rRNA from 1 species